AUUGAACGCUGGCGGCAUGCCUUACACAUGCAAGUCGAACGGUAACGGGCCUUCGGGUGCCGACGAGUGGCGAACGGGUGAGUAAUACAUCGGAACGUGCCCGAUCGUGGGGGAUAACGAGGCGAAAGCUUUGCUAAUACCGCAUACGAUCUACGGAUGAAAGCAGGGGACCGCAAGGCCUUGCGCGGACGGAGCGGCCGAUGGCAGAUUAGGUAGUUGGUGGGAUAAAAGCUUACCAAGCCGACGAUCUGUAGCUGGUCUGAGAGGAUGAUCAGCCACACUGGGACUGAGACACGGCCCAGACUCCUACGGGAGGCAGCAGUGGGGAAUUUUGGACAAUGGGCGCAAGCCUGAUCCAGCCAUGCCGCGUGCAGGAUGAUGGCCUUCGGGUUGUAAACUGCUUUUGUACGGAACGAAAAGCCUUCUUUUAAUACAGGAGGGUCAUGACGGUACCGUAAGAAUAAGCACCGGCUAACUACGUG
rnacentral:rRNA from 1 species